CUGUUCGUUGCGGGUUAAAACUAUAGCCUGACGUAGUGUGAAAAGCUUUCUGUUCAGGUACCCUGGGAUGAAUCCCAGUUUCCAGAUGUUUCCUGAGUGAUGACAGAAGUUACACUUCUUCAUGCCCCCAUUUUUUCCUAAGUACUUAGUGGUAGAAUAUGUGAGUACUUAGCUCUAGUGCAAAUGUGAAGGCUGCCUCCCCUCACCUUCAUGGUAGUAGUUGUCACCAAUGUGUAUUAUUAUUCAUUAUAUUAAAGUAUAAGAUGGCAAUCCAAAUUAUGUUUUAUUGCUUCAUUUGGAAAUGAUUACUAGAGUAAAAGAGGAGUAGAGAAUAUGAUUAAAGUAACAUUUAACCCUUUUGCAGACAUCCAUUCAAAUAUGUAUCUUUUUAAAGCAGGGUUUCUCAACCUGGGCACCGGUGAUGUUUUGGGCUGUAUAAUCUCGGUGGAGGGGGCUGUGCUGUGUGUCGUAGGCUGUUUAGCCAGCAUCCCUGGUCUUUACGCGCUAGAUGGCCAAGCCUCCCCCCGCAAUUGUGACAACCCAAAAAGUCUCAGACACUGUGCGACAUCCUUUUGGGGCAGAAUCACUGCUGGAUGAAAACCACUGCUGGAGAGACAGAGGCGUUAAUCACUUAGGAAACGUGAUGUGAUUGUAAAGCCUGUUGAGCGUGCUAGUAGAAAAGGCUGAGGUGCCGUGGGAGGAAAGCGAGGAGCAGACCGGCUUGGUGGCAGGUGUGGCUGCAUGUGGAGGCCGCGGCAGAGGCUUGGUGACAGGAGAGGGCCUGCACCAGCUGGUCGGGGGAGGUAGUUUGGAGAGGUUUUUGGAGGGAGAAUCGGGGGGCCUGGGGUUUACUAGGAUAUUACACUCCUGAUGACCAAGAGCAAAGAACGUUGAAGGUCUGAGAAGCGGACCCGGGGCCACCUGCAGGUCUGACUCAUCCACCGGGUGGGCCCCCUGCGUGCCUGCUUGGCCCGGCGCAGGACUCACACGUGUUUCUCGGCAAAGUCCAGACUUACUGAAUGUAUCCUGGAAACCGUGAGUCUUGGGUCUGUGGCUGCCAAGUGACUGCAUACUUAAAACCUGAUCUGCCUCGCUGGGGGUCAGGUGCGCGCUUGAGAGAUGAGAGAUGUCCCGCUUCGGCUGCGGCCUGCCUGGUGCCCGCCCGGCUGCUGGCCUGCCUGGUGCCCGCCGCUCCUUCCACCAGGCUGCCCGCCCCGCCUCUUCCCGCCCCGGCCUCUGUCCUUGGCCCCAGAGCUUUCUCCUCCCAUGCAGCAGCCACUCGUAAAGACGUUUUUGGACAUCAAAUAAUUUCCUUACUUUUGAGUCACUGUUUUGAAGUUUACAGGUUUCUUAAAGCAGUGCACCCCUUUGGUGGCUUCAGUGUGUAUUCUAACUUUAACAAGCGGUGAAAACAGAACAUUCCAGGGCCUUUCUGUGGCACAGCAUUUGGGGAAACCCAACAGAAUUUCUCUCUUUUCACAGCAAGUAACUUCAGCAGGCUCUUUAAUGGGGCUAUUUUAGUAAGAUCAUCAUAAGCAUGAUUUAAUGAUCUUUUGCUAAUAAUAAAGUAUCCACGACUUGUAGUUGCAGCUUAAAUGCUAAUAUCACAGGAUUGUAGUGCUAGUAACCUCGGCAGUGAUGAUAAAACCUUUGCUCCCUCAUGAAGUUAUGUUACUGAAAUGGUGUGUAUCUGGGUGGGUCUCUCCACGGUUUCUACUGCAGUAAAAUGGAAAUUCACUUUUAAGCAGCACCGAAGCCUGGGAAGUCUGUAUAGCCCAUGGCAGGCGGAGAAGGAGGAGAGAGGGCGGCCUCUCCUGACAGCUUGGCGGAGUUCGCUUCUCGGCCCCCAUCGCCUCCUCCACGUCCCCACUCCGGUCCCAGGGAUCUGUUAGAUCCGUUAUGGGCGGCUGUGUUUUCCUCGGGGAAAAGACUCUCAGCUCGGUUUUCCACCCGGAAUCCUCCUCCUGGGGGCCCGAGUAAAGUAGCUGGAACCUUUUUUCAGUCCAUGCACUUGUUGUGACAGAUGGGAAUUCAGCCACCUUUGAACACGUGCUGUGUUUCUAGGGUUGCACUCGUGCCGUGGGGAUCAGCUCUUCUACCGCCAGGCCACUUAGACACCUCAUAAAUGGAAGAGAGACUUAAGCAUGGCAGAGAAUUUCAGGAAUAAAGGAGACCACAGGCGACAGUGGGCAAAGGGGGUGUAAUUAGAUACCGUUGGAGAGAGAGUUGAUUGCACACAGUGGAGGGACUAGAUGAAGCUCUUUGGGAUGUGUAGAAGGCGAGGAACUGUUGCUUUCCUGGAUUUGUGGGUACCACCUUCAGAGAGUUGGGUUUCAGCUUGUUCAUGAAAAAUGGUAAAGUAUGAAUGAACUCUGGGGGCCAGGAUGUAGGGUGACUGUGGUAGAUGUUUAUCAUGGAGUUUGUGAUUUUAGCAGGUGAUACUGGCUUGAAAGGAGCAAAUACACACACACACACACACACACACACACACACACACACACACGCUUGUGCACUUAGUGCAGGAGGAGCUAGGGCGCUGUUGGUGUACCGUGGUGGCCCCAGUGGGGGAUCAGGAAAGGCCUCAAGAGCAUGUGACGUUCAAGCUCAGACAUUAAAGAGAAGGAAUUGCCAGCCCAGGUGGGACAUCCUUUUGCUUAAAUAAUAUAGAGAAGUAGUACAGCGUGGCGUUGGGAAGCUCACAUUCUGGAAGCCAUGAGGAGUCUGGGAUUAAUGUAGACACACUACUACGUGUAAAAUAGAUAAUCAACAAGGACCUGCUGUAGAGCACAGGGAACUGUGCUCAGUAUUCUGUAAUGACCUAUCUGGAAAAGGAUCUGAAAACGAAGGGAUGUGUGUGUAGCUGAAUCACUUAGCUGUGUACCUGAGACUCACACAGCAUCGUAAAGUAGCCAUACUCCUGUAGCAAAUAAAAGUGAAAAACAACCUGGCAGAAAAACUUUUCCUCAUUAGCUCCGAAGUUUGCUUCUGUGUGCCAGCGUUGACUCCUCUGUCAGUGUUUGGAGAUCAAGGGCGCUUUCUCCCCCCUCGGGGAGGUUUUUAUUGAAAGAGUGAGUACAAGUCCUUAACGCCCUGCCAGCACCUGCUCAUACCUUUUGACUGUGAAUGAUUGAUUUUUCCCCAAAGGGUCAGAAGGGAGAGGAGGGCUUCCCAGGCGGGGUUAGGGAAGUGCUGGGAGGCAUUUCUCAGAAGGAACCCUGUGAGUUUGAAGCAUGGUGGGGGCAGCCAAGCUGCGUGUGUGCCCCCCACCCCUCCCGGGAAAGGCAGGGCUGCCCUUCCCACAGGAGGGGUUCCAGCAGUGAGUUGAACAGGUAGCUUGCGAGGUCUCCAAGCUUUAAGAAAUGUACAUGCGUGUUAAUUCUGUUUUGCUCGUUGGUUUAAGGAUGUUUAAGAAAUAGUUAACCUUAUUAACUAGCCAAAAUAAUUGUAUCCUGGAUAUCUCUCAUGUGCUCCAAUAUGAUUGAAAAGAGAUUUCAAUCAUAUUGAAAAGAGCUUUCAGUUUUUGUAAGUUCAAUUAUAUUUUAGUGUAUUUUCUCCAUAAUUUGCCUAACUUGGUCUGUACGAUACAGCUGGCCUCUAAACCAAAUGACGAGGGUUGCUAAAUGACUGGAACUGUUUUUGGCUUGACUAGAUCAGAUCCAUACAUAUGAGGUUACAAGCCUAAUUGCUGUUACUUUUGGCCACAGUCCCUGCAAGUGUGGGAGGUCGCCAAGAACUUCCUUUGUGGAAAAAAAUGACAUUUGUUCAUUGUUUCAGUUGUGAUGAUUGCUUAAAGCAUAUGGGUUGUAUUUUUUUUACCAGUAGGUUUAUAAAGUUGUAGAUUGGGAAUUUUAUGCGUUGUAAAAAUUUAUCAUAAUUAAAUAUUUGUUCCUAGCCACUGUAGUGUACCAAGGGGCCAAUAUUAUCAUUAUUUUCUAAGAACUGUUACUACUGGAUAAAGAUUUAAUGAUGUGUUUUCCGAGUGUUAUUUGUUUUGAAAAUCAAUUUCUUUUUUUGCUUGGUUGUUUUUUGGGUUUUGUCUUUUAGUGCUGCACCUGUGGCCUGUGGAAGUUCCCAGGCUAGGGGUCGAAUCAGAGCUGCAGCUGCCCGUCUACACCACAGCCACAGCAACACCAGAUCCAAGCCACGUCUGCGACCUAUGCCACAGCUCGUAGCAACACCGGAUCCUUAACCCACUGAGCAAGGCCAGGGAUCAAACCUGUGUCCUCAUGGAUACUAGUCAGAUUGGUUUCCCUUGAACCCUGACGGGAACUUUGGGGCUUUCUUUCUGCGUGUGUUGGCCAGUAGUGAAAACCUACCUUUUGAGUUCAUGGUUGACCAUUACCGUUGUGGAUCACACAGGUGGCCGCCCAUGCUCCUUUUAACAUCUUAUGUUUGUAAUGAACCAAACCACGCAGCAGUUCCUGUCUUUUACAUUUAAAAUUACAGCAUAGAAUAGUCGUUAAUGGGAAACAGUUACAUGCUGUAUAUUUUCUUCUUUUUCUCUUUAUCUCUGUGAAACCAUCAAAAGGUUGGGAACUAAAUGACUCUAGACCAUUUGAUAACUUUUCACACAGAAGAGAUAAUAAGGAUUGUGGGAAAGAUGUAGUUAAUUUAAACUUUUUUGAGUUUGCAUUUCUCUUAAGGUUAAUUUUUCUUGUAGUUAUCAAAUUUUAAUUCUUCCCUGCUUUUGAGUAGCCCCAUGUGGAUGGUACAGAAUGGCUAGGAUUGAAGACCUUCAUCUGAUGCCGGUGUCAGGAUUGCUGGACAGCUUACCUGCUGUGUGUCCAGCGGUGGGGGGGGCUCGGUGGUGAUAAGCACUAAGCUGGCCUCUGCCCUCCCGGGCCGGCUGGGCUGGUGAGGAGUCAGACCUUUAAGCAGGAAUUUUUCACAGUGAAAUGAGAUGACUGCUCUAGUGGGACAGCAUAAUGUACUACCUUGUACUUAGUGGCCCCUGACUGAGUCUUGAUGAACCACAAAAUAUUAGGGUAUUUUGGUUUAUUUUGGCUGUAAUUCCCGCCAUAAAGGCCAUGCCUGUGGUCGAUGACUAAAAUUGUUAGGCUUUGUCUGUUUUCACUGUAUUUCUGUCCCCUCCACCAACUAUUUAGAAUUUUUCAUAGCCUUUUUUUACCUUCUGAUUCUUGCUAGUUAGGGAAUUACCCUUGUGGAGGGAUGCAAAUUGGACGAUCUAGGGUUGGAAAAACAGACUUCUUAACUCAUCUCUGAAUAUUUUGACUAACAUGUUGAAUUGGAAAGUGAAAAGAAUAGUGUAUUGCAAUACUUAUGAUGGUAUUAUUGUUGAUUGGCAAAUGUUAAAGUAGCCUCAGUUGGGAAAGAGGAAACAGGCAUCCAAUAAUUUGGAAGCAUGGAACAACAGAGAGUUAAGUCAGAAGAUUAAAAAAGUAUCUGACGGUAUGCAUACAUAUUCAUAUGUGUACAUUUGUAUGUACAGAUAUAUGUGUUUAUAUAUAUAUGUGUAGGCACCCAUUAAGUAAUAUAUGUACUUUUUAAGCAUAUGAGUAAGCACUUUAGAGAAUUGAGGCAUUCACGUUUUGUUUUUGACUUGACUACCCAUAUUUAUACACUCAUACGUAAUUUUGUAAUGCAACUAUAUUUAAAUAAGUAAUACAUCUUCAAAUGGGUAGUAUGUAAACUUAAUUUAAAAAAUGAACUAGGAGUUCCCGUCGUGGCGCAGUGGUUAACGAAUCCGACUAGGAACCAUGAGGUUGCGGGUUCGGUCCCUGCCCUUGCUCAGUGGGUUAACGAUCCGGCGUUGCCGUGAGCUGUGGUGUAGGUUGCAGACGCGGCUCGGAUCCCGCGUUGCUGUGGCUCUGGCGUAGGCCGGUGGCUACAGCUCCGAUUCGACCCCUAGCCUGGGAACCUCCAUAUGCCGCGGGAGCGGCCCAAGAAAUAGCAACAAC
rnacentral:lncRNA from 1 species